rnacentral:rRNA from 1 species
CGUAACAAGGUCUCCGUUGGUGAACCAGCGGAGGGAUCAUUACCGAGUUUACAACUCCCAAACCCCUGUGAACAUACCUUAUGUUGCCUCGGCGGAUCAGCCCGCGCCCCGUAAAAAGGGACGGCCCGCCGCAGGAACCCUAAACUCUGUUUUUAGUGGAACUUCUGAGUAUAAAAAACAAAUAAAUCAAAACUUUCAACAACGGAUCUCUUGGUUCUGGCAUCGAUGAAGAACGCAGCAAAAUGCGAUAAGUAAUGUGAAUUGCAGAAUUCAGUGAAUCAUCGAAUCUUUGAACGCACAUUGCGCCCGCCAGUAUUCUGGCGGGCAUGCCUGUUCGAGCGUCAUUUCAACCCUCAAGCCCAGCUUGGUGUUGGGAGCUGCAGUCCUGCUGAACUCCCCAAAUACAUUGGCGGUCACGUCGAGCUUCCAUAGCGUAGUAAUUUACACAUCGUUACUGGUAAUCGUCGCGGCCACGCCGUUAAACCCCAACUUCUGAAUGUUGACCUCGGAUCAGGUAGGAAUACCCGCUGAACUUAAGC